rnacentral:tRNA from 1 species
GGCCCCGUAGCUCAGUUGGUUAGAGCGCCGCCCUGUCACGGCGGAGGCCGCCGGUUCGAGUCCGGUCGGGGUCG